rnacentral:rRNA from 1 species
UACGUAGGGGGCAAGCGUUGUCCGGAAUUAUUGGGCGUAAAGAGCUCGUAGGCGGUCUGUCGCGUCUGCUGUGAAAACUCGGGGCUUAACCCCGGGCCUGCAGUGGGUACGGGCAGACUAGAGUGCGGUAGGGGAGACUGGAAUUCCUGGUGUAGCGGUGAAAUGCGCAGAUAUCAGGAGGAACACCGGUGGCGAAGGCGGCUACCUGGACAGAGUCUGACGCUGAGGCACGAAAGCUAGGGGAGCAAACAGG